UACUUGCAAUAGGAUCCUCUCGCAGGUUGCCCCAUUUGCUCACUCACACAAGCAAAACCUCAGGCGGGAAUUAGAGCCAGCUCAGGAAGACUGAUAUCGCCCUACCAAUUAGCACAAUCUCAGGUAAGUCAUCCACCUCCUUCACAAGUGAAGCGAAGUCCUUACUCGAUGAACAUUUCUUAUUCGAUUCAACCCCUUUUGUGUAUCUGGGCCUUUUCAUUUUAAUGGGUAUCCUUCAAUUUCAUCAUAGGAAGCUUUUGGAGCUCUCUAUGCUUAGAAUUUUCAAUUUGUUAGUAGGUUUCUUGGAUUUUUUGGGUACUGCAAAGUUUCACUGAUAAUGGGGAGUAGAAAUGAACUCUAUAUAUUUGUUUGGUCCAAGAGUGGUUCCCAAAAUCUCCUGUUUUUUCAUAAUUUCACGAAAAUUAUGCGACCGUGGGUUCGAUGGCGAUAAGGUUGAUAAUGGGUUUGGGUGCAUUGAGGAACCCUUGGAAGGAAUGUUGAGAUAUUCGGACUUUGAUUCCAUUUCUUAUGAAAAACCUGAUGAAAGCCGAGUCCGGGGACAUUUCUCGGUGAGGCAGGGUUUUUUUGACAACGCAAAGAUUGAUGCCAGGAGGAUUCUUGAAGUUCUCGAGCAAGAUUGCCCGGGGUUUGAUACGAAAUUGGCUCUAGACGAGUUGUAUAUAAGGCUUUCUGGGCUUCUAGUGAGGGAAGUUCUGUUGGGAAUUUUGAGGAAUGUAAAUUAUGGCAAUAAGAUGCGGUGUGCAAAAUUAGGGUAUAAGUUUUUCGUGUGGUCUGGUCAGCAGGAGAGUUACAAGCACACAGCAAAUUCUUACCAUUUAAUAAUGAAGAUCUUUGCAGAUUGUGAGGAGUUUAAGGCAAUGUGGAGGCUACUUGAUGAGAUGAUUGAGAAUGGGUUCCCAACCACGGCACGUACCUUUAACAUAUUGAUAUGCACUUGUGGUGGGGCGGGAUUGGCUAGGAAAGUUGUGGAGAGGUUCAUAAAAUCGAAGACAUUUAAUUAUAGGCCUUUCAAACAUUCAUACAAUGCGAUUUUGCAUUCCCUUCUCACGGUAAACCAAUACAAGUUGAUUGAGUGGGUGUAUCAGCAGAUGUUAGCUGAGGGUCAUUCUCCAGAUAUUCUAACUUAUAAUGUUGUCAUGUGUGCAAAGUAUAGGUUGGGAAAGUUGGAUCAGUUUCAUAGACUGCUUGAUGAAAUGGGUAGAAGUGGAUUUUCUCCAGACUUCCAUACAUAUAACAUUCUUCUGCACGUUCUGGGCAAAGGAGACAAACCACUUGCAGCCCUUAAUCUUUUGAAUCACAUGAAGGAAGUAGGUUUUGAUCCGAGUGUUCUUCACUUCACCACGUUGAUAGAUGGAUUUAGCCGGGCUGGAAAUUUGGAUGCCUGCAAAUAUUUUUUUGACCAAAUGAUAAAGAAUGGGUGUAUGCCUGAUGUGGUUUGUUACACUGUAAUGAUCACAGGAUAUAUUGUGGCUGGGGAGCUAGAGAAAGCUCAGGAAAUGUUUGAUGAGAUGAUAGUCAAGGGACAGCUUCCAAAUGUAUUCACAUACAAUUCCAUGAUUCGUGGGUUUUGUAUGGCAGGGAAAUUCGAGGAGGCAUGCUCAUUGCUUAAGGAAAUGGAAUCUAGAGGUUGUAAUCCGAAUUUCCUUGUGUACAGCACCCUAGUGAGUAAUUUGAGAAAUGCUGGAAAGCUUUCUGAAGCUCAUGAAGUAAUAAGACAUAUGGGGGAGAAGGGGCAGUAUGCUCAUCUUGUCUCGAAGUUCAAGAAAUAUAGGAGAUGCUAAAGUGACAAAAUUUUUAAGUGGAGAUUAUUCUCUUGUAACCUCAUAGGGAUGUUACUAAUUCAUCCAGCUCAGUUGACAACAUGUACUUGCCUGCUACUUCAGUUAUCACAGAAGCAAAAAGAUUAAAGUUGUAGUAACCAACCAAAGUUGUAUGGCCUUUCUUGCCGACUCUAUUUCCACUUUCUCAAGCUGUGGAUGCGAUAGUCAACAAUGCCUUUGGCGCCUGCGGCAUCUCAACAUCAGCAACUCACAUACACGUCUGGAUGGUCCAACCCAUGGAAAACUUAUCAUCAAGAUUCAAGACAAGCACGUAAACGGACUUUGUUCGGAUGAGCAAUUUGUGUUUGCACGUCGGGUUUCUCGAUCGUGUCCAAGUAAGUUAACUCUAACCCGAACCCGACCUGUCUGAUAAAAAGCCUGUCAUAGUAAGUGGGAUCCUGCUCUGAUCCGAGUCAUUUACUUGAGCAUUCAACAUCAGGUCACGAUCAAGCCACCUAGGCAAAUUAGUGGGUAACCGCUAAAUUUGAUGCUCUCAAAUUGUACCAUGCGUCCGUCAUAUUAAUCCCUCUACACCCAUGUAUAUCUCGCUCUCAAAGAUUGGAUUUAGCAAUUUGCUUUAAUUUGUAUUGAUUCAAUUCCUUUCCGAUGAAUUUUCCCGUGGCGGAUUUAGA